GAUAUAGUUAUGUGCUUAGCCAAGUUUUUUAAUUAUUACUACUAGUUAAUUUGCAAUUCCCGAGAGCUAGCAAUGGCAUCAAUGAAGGCUGAAAAGCCUGUUGGCACUCAACUCUUUGGACAGGUCAAGAAGGAAGCUGCAACUUCAAAGGCCACCGAUGCUUCCACCAAAGCCGCUGCUUCCAAGCCCGCCGCCAAAAAGGCUGCUCAAAAGCCUCAGGAACCAAAAAAACCCGCUGCUAAGAAGGGAAAAGGUGGGAAAGCAGCGACCAAGCAGUAGAUACCAGUCCCAAUGCAAGCAGAUUUUUAGGGCUUAAGAUACUAAAUAUCUAAGCUUAUAAUAUAUACACACACACAUAUAUAUGUUUGUGUUAUGAUCAGGGAAACUUAACUAAUUAAGGUUUUCUUGUAAGUUGUUUCGACAAAGAUAUUGCACUGAUUAAAUAAGACAGCAUAUAUAUAUGUAUAAUUAUCAUUACAAGGGUAUUAUACCAUAUA